UUUGCUUUCGAAUAUACCCAGUCUAGGAUCUUGGAUUAGUUGCACAGAAAACACAGAGACAAGAAUCAUAUAUGUUUUUCUUUUCAAUAAUACUAAUUUUAAGAUUAAGAUAGUAUAGGGACAACUUAAUAGAUUCUGAAAAAAACACUUAAUAAAAAUAAAGUGAAGUAUUGGUUUUAAAAUUCUUAGUAAUCUAGAAAUAGAAACUUUCCUAAUAUAAGCACACAACAAAAAAUAAUGCACUUGAUAUAUUUACAAAUACUCAAAUGCACUUUAUGAGACACACAGUUUUACUGGUACUCAUGGCACAACCAUUACUACAAUCUGUUCUAAUCAUUUCCUGCUGUGUACCAGCAAGAGAUUUAAGCUCAGGUUUGCCUAAAAUAAAUUUUGUGUAAUUUCAUUCCUACCGUGUUGAUUUUAUGAAAAAAAAUUCCUUGAGUUAUCUACCUCAUUGGGAAAUUAAACACAAGUAUGCAAACAUUUCAAGUAUACAGACAAUACAAAUACUAUAUACAAGCAAUUGCUACAGGAGGAAGGAGGUUCCUGAGACUCAGGAAAUAAACAACCCAUAAGUCAUAGAACUCAGAAAUGUUAGACUCAUAGGUCCCUACUCAAUGUUGUAGAAGCAGUAAUCACUUUCUAGGGAUAGGAGGUAUCUGACCAGUUCAACUGCCUGGAGGAGACUUUCCUACCUGUCAAGCUCCCUAAAAGUCAUGCAGAGAGUUCUAUGGAUAUAGCUUCUGUGAUUCAUCCAUGCUGGGGUGGGCUUUCUGCUGUUGCAGCUGCUUUUGAGUCACCCAUUCUAUAAAUAGCCCUUAACUAUCUUCCUGUAAGUAACCCCAGUGAACUCAUGGGCUCGAUACAUUGGACAUAAUCGUUAUUGUAGUCUGUUGUUCAUUUACUGUCUGGGGGUGUUUGCCCAUUUCUCCCUAUAAAAAGUUAACAAAAUAGUUAGAGAUUAUAAUAAACUCUAAUAAGUAAAUUAAAAUCUAAACAAAUUGCAUUUUGAGAAGAAUCUUACUCAGUGGCCACCAGCAUGUGAGAAUGGUCAGUUGGGAGGCUCAAAACCAGUUAAGAUUUUGAAGGUAUUAUAUUGCCAAACAAACCAUAAACCUGAUAAUUGCUCUUAACUAAGCAAUAAAGCCACUUUCAAAGCUACCUAGCUUGAAAAGUCUGUAUAAUUGUCACUUUAAAUGUUAACGAAGAGGAUCAUGGGUAAGCAAUACCUCGAAUCAGAGGCUCACAGACUAAGUCAUUAUGUUCAGAUAGCUCUGCAGUUGGUAUAUCCCAUCAGUAGCAUUUGCUAAUUGUGAUACACUGAUUACUAUGUUCUACGUCUUCUGAGUUCUACUGCAGUUAUCUUAGUGAUAUUCUGUUGCAACACAGUUCAAGAAUAGAGUCAUGUGAGGAGAAUUAAAUUAAUUCAGAAUGCUGAAGGGUUGUGAGUAAACUUCAAAAAACAAGACAAGUCUUGUGACUCCAGUUUCUUCAGAACACAGAACGACUCUUGAAAUGUGUUUUUCGUGCUCCUCCCUGGUACAGUGGAUAAGAGCGAGUUUACUUCAGCUGUUGUUAUUCAUAUAUCUUUAUGGAAAACAUGUUUUUGCCAUGUGAGGCAUGCCCUUCUGAUACUUUACUCAGGUGACUCUUCUUAGCCCUUAGAGUAUAAAUCGCCCGAUGCUCUGAAUAAAGUUGGCUGUUGCAUGAGACUUUAGUCCACCCCAUUUCUAGGUUCAGUGCCAACUAGAGUAGUGAACACUAUUCAACACUGCCUAUAGGACUGUAAUACAGUGAGUAAAUAACUUGUUUUAAAUUAAUAUGCUAGUUGACCUGAAGAAGACACACCUGAACACAAUGACAGCUAAUGACCCAGUGAGGUCAGAUUUUGAGUAAAAGGCAAUAACUAGAUGAGACUGAAUUGUUUGUUCCCCUUGGUGGGGAUGUGUGUGCUCUGUGGGGGAAGAAAAUGUUGCAGUGGAAAGUCUUGAUGAAACCAUCAUUUCCGCAUCAUCAAAACGGAGCUGAUCAGUGGCAGAAGGAUUGAAAUCAUACCCCUAAAGUGAUAUAUUAUGAGAUAAAAUAUCUUGACAGAAAGUAACUUACAAAAGUUUUACUUAGCUUACAAUUCGAAGUUAUAGUCUAUCAUUGCAGAGAUAGCAAAGGCAGGAAUUGAAAGCAGCUACUCACACCCAUAGUCAUAGGCAUAUAGAGAAUUAAUGCAUGCAUACCUGCCUAUUAAGGCUCAAGUCUUCUCUACACCUAUACAGUUCAGUAUCCUUUACCAGGGAUUGAUGCUUUCCACAGCAGGCUGGGUCUUACUAAUCAAUAAAGAAUCAACUCAACCACCUAUGAACACACCCGUAGGCUAGCCUGAUCUAGACAUUUCCUCGUAAAGACUCUCUUUCCAAGUACUUUAGGUUGUUCCAGUUUGACAAUUUGAAUUAAUCAUUAAAGUACAGAUACUACACAUGCCUGUAGAAAACUGGCUAACAUGUAUGCAUAUGAUGUCAGAAUUCUAAUAAACAGAAAAUGUGCAUAAAUUGUUAUCAUCUGUUCAUUAUUUAUUUGAGGCUAUUAUUCCAACCAUAGAUUAUCACUCUACACAUAUAACAACUAUGCCUACAUAUGUUUUGAAUAUAGGAAGGUUUAUAUUGAUAAUAUGGCAUAUUGCUUUUCUAUCACUGUGGGAAAAAAUACCAAUGGUUAAGGCAGCUUACAGAAGGAAAAAUUUAUUUAGGCUCAUGGUCACAGUUCAUAAUGGUGGAGAGAGCAUAGCAUCCUGUGUCAGAUAUGGCAGGUAAAACUGGAAGUGGAGAGCUAACAGCUCAUACAUCAAACCACAAACAAAAGUCAGUUAGCAAACUGAGCAUGGUUUCUGACUUUUGAAACCUCUGCACCCACACACAAGGUGUUGAGAGACAUGCUUCCCCCAGCAAGACCAUGUCUCCUAAACUUACCCAAACAGUUUUACCAACUGGGGACAAAGUAUUCAAGUAUCUUAGUCAGGGUUUCUAUUCCUGCACAAAACAUCAUAACCAAUAAGCAAGUUGGGGAGGAAAGGGUUUAUUCAGCUUAUACUUCUACAUUGCUGUUCAUCACCAAAGGAAGCCUGUAGUGAGCCGUAUUGGAUUUGGGCCUAGCCGCUUUGUGACUGCAUAGCUCAAGGUGGCUACUUGACUCUGGGCUGCAUGGCCACAGAGGUUUAACCUUGAAAUGACUGCCAUACGGACAUGAGAUUGCUGAACUAAAGCCUCUCCCAGGAAGACCCUGGGAGCAAUGACAGGAUGUUUCAGCCUGAGCAAAACACCGGAUGUCCCUGAGCAGAUUCCUGAGAAGGGUUCAACCUUUUCAAAGAACAUGUCCCCGGAAGACUGUUGCCUCUUUGUUAUAGGAGGAUAUCUUGCAGUGUAGUGAUUCACCUUAUCCUUGGGCACUUCCCAAAUUCGCCCACCCUAAGCUUCAGUUCCCGCUUCUAUUCCUGCCUCAGAGCUUUAAAUGCUGUACGUUUCUCCCAAUAAACGAGACCUUGACAAGAGAACUUUUGCUUGGUCUCCUUCUCUUCACCCCCAUUUUGGCCCACAGGUAGAAAGCCUCUUCGGGAUCCUGAAUAACUGGGUCCCCGCUGGCGGGGACAAGUGGCGCCCGAACAGGGACCCCAAAGCAAGGCUGACUACAGGACGACGGAGAUAAGAGAGCUGCAGCGGGAAUCGAGGACUCUUCAGGCCGUAUCGCUCGUAUCGCUCGUGCGUCGCUGAAGAAGGAGAGCAAUGAAGCUCUACUGGAUUCUACUGAAACUUCUCUUUCCAACUGUGCUGACAUCCGGAACAUCAAGCCCCUAUCAGAUUUGGAAUUACACCUGGAAAUUCUGUUUCAGUACAUUAUCAUCGCUUGGAGACCGGAACAGCUGAGGAGAACCAGAGAGACAACGAACAAGAUGAGGUGCCUACAACAUAUUGGGAGAGGCUCAACUUCCACAAUCUCUUAAAUUAAUGACAUCUGGCCCCUGCUCUUUCGCCCCUGGGCUCAAGUGAGAGGAAUGAGAAGAUGACCUGAUGUAGCUUCUUCAGUGACGGGCAACUUCCUCUGACCCUUGACCAAUCUAAGACAUGGUGCCUUGCGGGCGACAAGGUGAUCCUAUGACGGAUAAGGCUGGGGUUCGAGAGGUCGAUCCUAAGACAGAAGUGGCUACACCCCGUUUAAAUGUACGGGCCGGUCAAAUGCUCCUCUGCCCAGUUUCUCCCCCAAUAAACACACACGUAUAGCCCAGAACGGUGUGUUACAGCAUAAGUUCAUUCCUAGCCAUUGGGGUGCAGUCCUGACUGCAAGAGUGGCUCGCCAUGGCCAAGCUGGGCACUCUGUGAGGCAUGUCUGAUCUCUCUCAGACCACUACUUCCACCUAAUGGUCCUUUUUAAAAGAAUAACGGGGGAGAUGCAGUGAGCCGUAUUGGAUUUGGGCCUAGCCGCUUUGUGACUGCAUAGCUCAAGGUGGCUACUUGACUCUGGGCUGCAUGGCCACAGAGGUUUAACCUUGAAAUGACUGCCAUACGGACAUGAGAUUGCUGAACUAAAGCCUCUCCCAGGAAGACCCUGGGAGCAAUGACAGGAUGUUUCAGCCUGAGCAAAACACUGGAUGUCCCUGAGCAGAUUCCUGAGAAGGGUUCAACCUUUUCAAAGAACAUGUCCCCGGAAGACUGUUGCCUCUUUGUUAUAGGAGGAUAUCUUGCAGUGUAGUGAUUCACCUUAUCCUUGGGCACUUCCCAAACUCACCCACCCUAAGCUUCAGUUCCCGCUUCUAUUCCUGCCUCAGAGCUUUAAAUGCUGUACAUUUCUCUCAAUAAACGAGACCUUGACAACAGAA